rnacentral:lncRNA from 1 species
GAGAUAUUCUUUUUGAGCAAUUUUGCCUUGGAAACUGCAGGGUUACUUCAAAUAGAUAUAACAUUGACCUGUCAGACGCAAUUGGAAAAUAACAAAUGCAUUCCGGAAAUUAUACACAGUAGUGGAACGCAAAAUAGACAAGAGUACAUGUCGUAGUUGAGGUGCACCAAUGCUAUUGUCACGUCAACAAAAAUAAUGCAUGGAAGCUUGCACCGUAGAAAAUCUGGAGUUUGUCUGAAUCCAGCUGGUCUGUUACGACCAGUAUCUUCCAUUCUGGGAAAUACACAUUCUUUCAUGAAAAUACAGUAAUUGAUAGAUGCAUAUGAAAAGUACAGUCAUACUACAGUUCAAGUUGAACAUAUUAAAGUGAGGAUAAUUCUACUAAUAAUGUAGCGGGAGGUAUCGUAAUUUUCUAGUAUAAAACUUAGUAGCUUCAAGUAUUAUGAAGUUACUAAAAUUUUAUUUUACUAUAAAAUAAAAUUUUGAUACCUUUUACUACUUUCUUAAGCAAUGUAAAUUUUCUCUUAAAGUGAUGCCUGAUACUUAAGCAACUAUAUAUUAUAAGUAGAACAGUUUGUAUCUUGGCCUCUUAUGCUAACCUUUCCAUUCAAAUGCUGUUGUGACAUCUUCAGGUGACAGGGAAGGAGAUCUUUCAGGUUCUAAAAGAAAAAUAUGCUGGUGGGUUCGAAGAUUUUAUCCAGGAAAAGGUUUGUCCUUUGGCAGGAGACAUAAUCUAUGAGGACUUGGGUCUAGAGUCUGCCAAAUUGACAGAAUUGUCCAAGGAAGUCGACAUCAUCGUCAACGGUGCAGCAACUACUAAUUUUUAUGAAAGGUUUGGGGAUUUUUAUGGUCAGAUAUUUCUCGGAUAACAUAAAUGGUACUACCAAAUAACUUUUUUCUGUCAACAUCUAAAAACUUUGUAGAUAUGAUGUGGCUUUUGACUCGAAUGUCAUGGGAGCGAAGAACAUAUGUGAAUUCGCAAAGAAGUGUACAAAACUGAAGAUGCUCCUCCAUGUUUCAACUGGUAUGAAGCAUAGAACUGAACUUGCUUUUAUGUAUUGUUCAUAUGUGCUUCAUUCAGAACUCUGAUGAUGCAAUGACUGGAAUAGCCUAUGUAUCCGGAGAACAGGAGGGACUGAUACUAGAGAAACCAUUCUUGAUGGGUCAAGCGCUGAGCGAAGGCACACAGUUGGAUAUCACAUCCGAGCUAAAUCUGAUCAAGGAGACCAGGAGAGAUUUGAAAGCUAACUGUUGUCCAGAGAAAACUGAGAAGAGAACCAUGAAGGAGCUUGGGCUCAAGAGGUCGGCCACAGCUCUUCUGAAAUGUUGAACCAAUCAUUGAAACAAAAAUUAAAUUCAACUAAGAAAUUUCCUUAAUAUUAUGUUGACCUUUUUAAAUACCGUUACUGCAAUAAUUCUUUGGAAAUACUUUUCAUCAGAAUUGCAAGAAAAAGGGGCCAAAUUUCUUUGUUCAGUUCUUCUACUAGUGCAGAGUUCUAUAAACGGGAGACAAAAACUAACAUCCAAAAGACUGACAACUUUUGGCUGUUUCCUGGCAUGCACAACUGAAUGAGAAGGGCUAGGCAUUUUGGGUGGCCAAACACGUACGUUUUCACCAAAGCAAUGGGGGAGAUGCUGCUCGGCCACCUCCGCGGUCACCUCCCGGUGGUGAUCAUCCGCCCAAGCAUCAUAACCAGUAUCCUCAAGGAGCCAUUGCCGGGAUGGACGGAAGGAAUCAGGUCACGAAAAACAUAUAACUUCAUCAAGGACAUCUUGU